AGCACUUCACACGUAUACAAGGCUGAGAGCAACAAAUAUCAUAGUCCCAUUGUAGAUCCAAGAGGAAAAGAAGGCAUGAAAGUGUUAAAAAGCCUGAUAAAGUCCUCACUUAGUAGUGGCCCAAAUCCUUAGUGGAUUGGAUUAUACUAGAAAGAACCAGUGACCCUCUUCAGCCAAUGUGUUUUGAGUCCUGAUGUGUGCCAGGCUCCUGGUUGUGAGCUAAGGACACAAAACUGAAUAAGCACCUUCUUUGCACUCAAAGGGCCCCUAAAUGACUUCUCUCUUCUCUGCUAAAUCUUUUUGUCUCUAAGUCUUGUGUGAUCAUGCUGUCACAUCAAGAUCUAGUCUAGUAGUUUCAUAAUGCCCCCUUCUCCCUGCACCACCAACCCUCCCCCCACACCCAGCUAAAGUCGCAGUGCUUUUUACUCGGAAAGCCAUGGAAAUGUGAAAGUUUACUGUUUUGCUCUCUCUGAUAAAAUAUAGCAUAAUAACUAGUUGCUGGGUUACUGCAUAAAACACAGGCCCCAAAUGUAGCCGGGAAGAAUAGUUAGCAAUUAAGUAAAGGAAAUGACUAGUGACUUUGAAACUCAACACACGGCCCAUGUACUUCUUAGCAAAGGAAGGCAUCUGGGUUACUUAGGCAACUUUUAUCACUAAGGAAGUAGUUUUGGUGACUCACACUCAUACAGAAGGACUGCUUUCAAAAUCUGUUAUUUGGUGCCUUUACCAUUAGGCUUCUGUUUUCCUUUAUCUUUGGACUGGGACAGAAAAAAGCUACAUUUGGAUGGCACGGGUUUAUUACUUAGUAGCAUAUGAUUCUCUGGCUGACCCAUGUUUUGAAAUGUAAUGGACCCGUGGUGAUCAGAGUAAAAGUAUGCUUGAAUGGCAACGUGGAGUUAGGAUAGCCAAACUUUGAGAUAAUGACUAAAUGCUCAUCUAUGCACCCAUCCACUCAAGGGACUUCUAAAAUUGCCAAGAAUGGCCAGUAGUCCCUGUACCGGCAAAUGAAAGAUUAUUCCAGACCUUGCUGUGAAAGAGAGGAGAAGGGAGCCAGGGCUGUGCUCAGAGGAGAUCAUGACCCGUGGAAAGAUGACCCGAACCUGUCAACCUGGAGCCAAUUUGAGGAUAUGGAGGCAAAGAGUCAAAACGGAAAGAAAGAAAGAGACUCUUCUGGAUUUUGUGCAGCUCUGUAAUUUAAACAGGAUUGAGCGUGGCAGCAGGCUGCCUGGUGUAUCAGAGUGGAUGCAAAGAUGGUAAACUGGAAGGAGGCCUGGAAAUGAGGGAAAUGGUCAAUGAGCAUCACUUGAGACAAAGCAAAGUGCGUGCGUGAGUGUGUGUGUGUGUGUGUGCGCGUGCUGUGUGUUUUAGCAAUGUUUAAAAAGGUUUUAUUAAAUUGGAGGCAUCCAGUUUAGGGGGCACCAGGGUGACAACAUCAGAAAAGCUUGCAACUCUUGAUCUCGGGUUCAAGCCCCACCUUGGGCCUAGACUUACUUAAAAAAAUAACAAAAAAAUAAAUUGGAAGCAUCAGGAUGAACUUGCAGCUUAAAAAAUUUUCCCUUCUAAAGCUGAACGAGUCUAGACUGCCCCUGGUCUUACUCUCUCUAAAGCUGGUUGUGUGGAACAUUGAAUGUUCUGUUACUCUUCCAGUAAAAGAAGGUUGGGGAGGGGUAACUGGUACCAAAUCGGGGGGGGGGGGCAAAUAUAAAAAUGAGCUUAGAAUAGGAAGGAAUAGCCAUGAAAUGUUUGCAAAAGAAGAGGAAUUCUGGGGGUUCCUAGUAGGUGUGAAAAUGUAUUUCCAAGUUCCACUGUUUGCCAGUGUGAUUCGCCAACAGGAGCAGCAGACACACCCCAAGAAGGGCUGGCCCCCAUGAGGACGAACCUGCCUUAGAAUAUAGUAUGUGAACAAGGAAGUAUUACAAACCACUGUGGAAGGCGAAUCUAGGUAUUUGCAGAAUAGUUGGGUUUAAAACCUCUUCUUGCAUACCAAUCAAAAUAGAUUAAAAAAAUGAAGCAUAAAAGAAGAGAACAUACAGCUGAAUGUAACUCAUUUUUUCCCCAAGUAUAGGACUUCCUAGGCUUAAAAAGACAUUGGAUAAUCACACAGGAAAAUUGUGUAUAUUUGACUGCAGAAAAUUAAAUACGUUUGUGUCAUAAAAUAUUAUAAACCAAAUCCAGUGGAAACUGAUGAAUAGAGAGACAUUUUUACAACACACAUGGCUGACAGCUUUAUAGCCACAAAAAAAACACA